CUGCUAUUGGGAUUCGACUAAGCCAUGCGAGUUGAGAGGGUUCGGCCCUCAGCAGACGGCUCAGUAACACGUAGAUAAUUUGCCCUUAGGUGGAGGAUACCCUCGGGAAACUGAGAAUAAUACUCCAUAGAUCUAGACUGCUGGAAUGCUUUUAGAUUGAAAGAUUUAUCGCCUAAGGAUAAGUCUGCGGACUAUCAGGUUGUAGUUAGGGUAAAUACCUGACUAGCCUACGACGGAUACGGGUAGUGAGAGCUUUAGCCCGGAGAUGAUAUCUGAGACACGAUAUCAGGCCCUACGGGGCGCAGCAGGCGCGAAAACUUCGCACUGUGCGAAAGCACGACGAGGGAAUCCCAAGUGCUGGCUCGUAAGAGUCAGCUGUUUUUCUGUCUAAAAAACAGAGAGAGUAAGAGCUGGGUAAGACGGGUGCCAGCCGCCGCGGUAAUACCUGCAGCUCAAGUGGUGGCCGCUAUUAUUGGGCCUAAAACGUCCGUAGCCGGUUUCA
rnacentral:rRNA from 1 species